GAUGAACGCUAGCGGCAGGCUUAACACAUGCAAGUCGAGGGGUAACAGGAGAGCUUGCUCUCGCUGACGACCGGCGCACGGGUGCGUAACGCGUAUGCAACCUACCCUAUACAGAGGGAUAGCCCUAAGAAAUUGGGAUUAAUACCUCAUAAUAUUGAGAAACUGCAUGGUUUUUCAAUUAAAGUUCCGGCGGUAUAGGAUGGGCAUGCGUAGUAUUAGCUAGUUGGUGAGGUAACGGCUCACCAAGGCAGUGAUACUUAGGGGUUCUAAAAGGAAGGUCCCCCACACUGGUACUGAGACACGGACCAGACUCCUACGGGAGGCAGCAGUGAGGAAUAUUGGUCAAUGGACGCAAGUCUGAACCAGCCAUGCCGCGUGCAGGACUACUGCCCUAUGGGUUGUAAACUGCUUUUUUAUUUACCGUGAAACGCCAUCUCGUGAGGUGGUCUGAC
rnacentral:rRNA from 1 species